rnacentral:rRNA from 1 species
CAGUAGCCGCGGUAAUACGGAGGAUCCGAGCGUUAUCCGGAAUUAUUGGGUUUAAAGGGUGCGUAGGCGGAUAGAUAAGUCAGUGGUGAAAGACGGUGGCUCAACCAUCGCAGUGCCGUUGAUACUGUUUAUCUUGAAUAUGGAUGAGGUAGGCGGAAUGUGGCAAGUAGCGGUGAAAUGCAUAGAUAUGCCACAGAACACCGAUUGCGAAGGCAGCUUACCAAGGCAAAAUUGACGCUGAGGCACGAAAGCGUGGGGAUCGAACAGGAUUAGAUACCCCCGUAGUCCCUGUCUCUUAUAC